ACACGUUCUCAGGGCGGGGUGGAAGUCCCCACCGGCGGUAAGAGCAAAAGCUUAAGCCCGCGAGCGCCUUUUCGGUUUUCCGGAAAGGGUCAGCAGAUCCGGUGUGAUUCCGGAGCCGACGGUCAUAGUCCGGAUGGAAGAGAACGGAA
rnacentral:ncRNA from 1 species